ACAGACAUCCUCCCUGGCACUACCACAAGUCCUACCAUCUGCCAUCAGUGGACCAUGGUCUGGACCAAGUCAUGGCAGAACGCAAGCAGGACUCGGUUUUGUUUACCACUUACUCCACCCCAUGGCGGAGGCAGGAUGGAUGGAUGAUGGAUGAUGGAUGGAUGGAUGGAUGGAUGGACGGACGACUUCCCAACUCCCAGGUGGUAACAGAUGGCACCUGGUGGUGUGGAUGCACAGAGGAAUUUGGAAAUGCUCCCCAUGUGCUGUCCUGUUUUCUCUCGGGGGUGGCUCAUCAUGGUCUGUUCACUGCUGAGGCCAAAGGAGAAGACAGACAAGGAGGCCAGAGGGGCAGAUCCCAGUCACUCUGCCGAACAGCGUUUGGCCUGUCAACAGUGGAAGACUGAAUUGUCACGGCUGCUUUCUGUCUGUUUCGGGGACCCUCAAAGUGAAGAAAGUCAAAUUUGGUAUUAAAUAACCACCCAGGAUGUGGGUGUCAGCCUGAGGUGUUAAGGGCAACAGUUUAUAAAAAGCCCGGAUAAAUAUAGGAAGUACAGUUGUGUUCCAGGUAACUCAAGAUUCGCAUCCACCGCGCCUUUAAUGGAGGCCACCUAUCGGGCCUGCUUUCACAGCCGUGUAACUUAUGACACCUAUUUUAAGAUCUGUAAUUUUUCCUCUAGCUACGAGACCAGAAAACACUUCCUCUCACCUCGCCCAGGCUCCAUAACUAACCAAAUGCAUAUCCUUCACUUUCAUUCUUUCUCCACUAAAAUAAAUUCCUAACUAUUUUAUAUACUCCUAAUGUUAAGAGGAAAAAAAAAAAAAACAU